UAAACACAGAAGACAGGUGCCAGGCUCUGUAGAGAAAAUAUGGCUAUCUUAUUUUAAAUUUUUUUGCCACUACUUGACUUAUAAGUUUCAGAUUCAUUUGUGUAUCUCAGAGAUUCUACAAUGAUAUUUGACCUCAACCUUGGCUUCAACCAAAUGUUGAUUUCAAUAUUCAGCCAUUGGACAUUUGGCCUAUAUCCAGCCCCCAGGUCAUCAAAAACUAGGAUUCACUUUGAAGUUCUAACCUCUUUGGACCACAAUAAAUAACUCCUGGCUCAGAUUCACUCUGCCAGGGACCCAUUGGAGUUCCAUUCUGCUUAAAGGACAUGGCCCUAUUAAACAUAAGGUGGGUUAUCUCUAGGUUGGAGGCCUGAAAAGGCUUUCGCAGAACUAUUUAAAGGCAGCAACACAUAUCCUUUGAUGUAGCUAUCUCACUUCUGGGAGUUUAUCUUUAAAAACCAUUGUGGAUAUAUGUGGAGCAAAGGUAUACACUUCAAAAUGUUUCAAAGUGUUGUUUAUAUUAGCAAAAAUGUUGAAGCAUGCAUGUACAAAAGUAGAGGAGCAAUAAACUAUGCCAUAUCCUAAUAGUGAAACACUAAUAAUCAUUAUAAAUAACUGUCAGUUAAUUUGUUAAGU